rnacentral:rRNA from 1 species
GUGGGGAAUAUUGGACAAUGGGGGGAACCCUGAUCCAGCCAUGCCGCGUGUGUGAAGAAGGCCUUUUGGUUGUAAAGCACUUUAAGCGAGGAGGAGGCUACCGAGAUUAAUACUCUUGGAUAGUGGACGUUACUCGCAGAAUAAGCACCGGCUAACUCUGUGCCAGCAGCCGCGGUAAUACAGAGGGUGCAAGCGUUAAUCUGAUUUAAUUGUCGUAAAGCGCGCGUAGGUGGCCAAUUAAGUCAAAUGUGAAAUCCCCGAGCUUAACUUGGGAAUUGCAUUCGAUACUGGUUGGCUAGAGUAUGGGAGAGGAUGGUAGAAUUCCAGGUGUAGCGGUGAAAUGCGUAGAGAUCUGGAGGAAUACCGAUGGCGAAGGCAGCCAUCUGGCCUAAUACUGACACUGAGGUGCGAAAGCAUGGGGAGCAAACAGGAUUAGAAACCCUUGUAGUCC